GGCGAAUCGGUGAUCAUGAUAUCGGAUCUUUCCCGGAUUUGUGGGAUAACAAAACGAAAGUUACGCUAAUACCGCAUAUGCCCUGAGGGGGAAAGGGGGGGAUCGCAAGACCUCUCGCUUUCGGAGUGGCCGAUACCGGAUUAGCUUGUUGGUGAGGUAAAGGCUCACCAAGGCGACGAUCCGUAGCUGGUCUGAGAGGACGACCAGCCACACUGGAACUGAGACACGGUCCAGACUCCUACGGGAGGCAGCAGUGGGGAAUUUUGGACAAUGGGCGAAAGCCUGAUCCAGCCAUACCGCGUGAGUGAAGAAGGCCUUCGGGUUGUAAAGCUCUUUCAGCCGGAAAGAAAUUGCACUUCUUAAUACGAAGUGUAGAUGACGGUACCGGAAGAAGAAGCACCGGCUAACUACGUGCCAGCAGCCGCGGUAAUACGUAGGGUGCGAGCGUUAAUCGGAAUUACUGGGCGUAAAGCGUGCGCAGGCGGUUUUUUAAGUCAGAUGUGAAAUCCCCGGGCUCAACCUGGGAACUGCAUUUGAAACUGGAAGACUAGAGUAUAGCAAAGGGAGGUAGAAUUCCACGUGUAGCAGUGAAAUGCGUAGAUAUGUGGAGGAAUACCAAUGGCGAAGGCAGCCUCCUGGGUUAAUACUGACGCUCAUGCACGAAAGCGUGGGGAGCAAACAGGAUUAGAUACCCUGGUAGUCCUCGCCCUAAACGAUGUCAACUAGUUGUUGGGGAAGGAGACUUUCUUAGUAACGUAGCUAACGCGUGAAGUUGACCGCCUGGCGAGUAGGGUCGCAAGAUUAAUACUCUAAGGGAAUUGACGGGGGACCCGCACAAAGCGGUGCGAUUAAGGUGGAUUUAAUUCAGAUGCAACGCCGAAAAACCUUUACCUACCCCUUGACUUGUCAAAAAAGAUUGCAAAAGUUGUGAUUUGUGCCCGAAAAGGGAAACUUGAUAACAGGGUGCUAGCAUGGGCUGUCAGCCAGCUCCGUGUCUGUAGAAUGGUGGCGUUAAAGUCCACGCAACGAACCCGAACCUUUUGGCUUUAAAUUGGCCAUCAUUCAGGUUAGGCAACUUUUAAUGGAAACUGCCGAGGGGAUAACCCCGGAAGUAAGGUGGGG
rnacentral:rRNA from 1 species